rnacentral:rRNA from 1 species
CCUACGGGAGGCAGCAGUGAGGAAUAUUGGUCAAUGGGCGGAAGCCUGAACCAGCCAAGUCGCGUGAGGGAUUAAGGCCCUAUGGGUCGUAAACCUCUUUUGUCAGGGAGCAAUGGCGUCCACGUGUGGGCGUAUGGAGAGUACCUGAAGAAAAAGCAUCCGCAAACUCCGUGCCAGCAGCCGCGGUCAUACGGAGGAUGCGAGCGUUAUCCGGAUGUAUUGGGUUUAAGGGGUGCGUAGGCGGGCCUUAAAGUCAGCGGUAAAAUUAUGGUGCUCAACGCCGUAGAGCCGUUGAAACUGGGGUUCUGGAGGGUGCGAGAAGUAUGCGGAAUGCGUGGUGUAGCGGUGAAAUGCAUAGAUAUCACGCAGAACCCCGAUUGCGAAGGCAGCAUACCGGCGCUCAACUGACGCUGAGGCACGAAAGUGCGGGUAUCGAACAGGAUUAGAUACCCCAGUAGUC